rnacentral:tRNA from 1 species
UCUCUGUUAGUAUAUCGGUUAGUACACGCGCCUGUCAUUCAAAUUGACCGCGCGAAAGCGGGGUUCGACUCCCCGACAGAGAG